GAUGAACGCUGGCGGCGUGCCUAAUACAUGCAAGUCGAGCGAAUGGAUUAAGAGCUUGCUCUUAUGAAGUUAGCGGCGGACGGGUGAGUAACACGUGGGUAACCUGCCCAUAAGACUGGGAUAACUCCGGGAAACCGGGGCUAAUACCGGAUAACAUUUUGAGCCGCAUGGUUCGAAAUUGAAAGGCGGCUUCGGCUGUCACUUAUGGAUGGAGCCGCGUCGCAGUAGCUAGUUGGUGAGGUAACGGCUCACCAAGGCAACGAUGCGUAGCCGACCUGAGAGGGUGAUAGGCCACACUGGGACUGAGACACGGCCCAGACUCCUACGGGAGGCAGCAGUAGGGAAUCUUCCGCAAUGGACGAAAGUCUGACGGAGCAACGCCGCGUGAGUGAUGAAGGCUUUCGGGUCGUAAAACUCUGUUGUUAGGGAAGAACAAGUGCUAGUUGAAUAAGCUGGCACCUUGACGGUACCUAACCAGAAAGCCACGGCUAACUACGUGCCAGCAGCCGCUGUAA
rnacentral:rRNA from 1 species